UAUGAGGUAGUUUAAAAAAUUUCAAACUUUGAAUUUGAAGAUGGUAAUUAAAAAUUUACCCCUCAUAA
rnacentral:tRNA from 1 species